rnacentral:lncRNA from 1 species
CUGAAGACAUGAAAGGUAGGAUACAGAAUAUGAAAAAAGGCUUGGAUCUCCUCCACUGCUUCAGACACAACUGGUCUGUCUGUGUAGGCAAAUGAAGAGCUGCCCCUUCUUCUAGAAGGUCAAUACCAGAGGUGGUGGAGAGGGAUGAACCAGCUUCGGUCUGGCUGGGGUGGAGACGUGCUCCAAGUAUCAGAGAUAAAGAGCCUCAGUCUCUGAGGCUUACAGCAGUGCAACUCAUCACUUAAAAGGCUUCCAGAGGAAAGCAGAACACCAAGAACUCAGAGAACAAUCAUCCGGGGCCG